rnacentral:piRNA from 1 species
UGACCAAAACUCUCGGCAUUU